GAUGAACGCUAGCUACAGGCUUAACACAUGCAAGUCGAGGGGAAACGACAUCGAAAGCUUGCUUUUGAUGGGCGUCGACCGGCGCACGGGUGAGUAACGCGUAUCCAACCUGCCCAUCACUUGGGAAUAACCUUGCGAAAGUAAGACUAAUACCCAAUGACAUCCCACGAAGACAUCUGAAUGGGCUUAAAGAUUUAUCGGUGAUGGAUGGGGAUGCGUCUGAUUAGCUUGUUGGCGGGGUAACGGCCCACCAAGGCAACGAUCAGUAGGGGUUCUGAGAGGAAGGUCCACCACAUUGGAACUGAGACACAGUCCAAACUCCUACGGGAGGCAGGAGUGGGGAAUAUUGGUCGAUGGGCGAGAGCCUAAACCAGCCAAGUAGCGUGCAGGAUGACGGCCAUAUGGGUUGUAAACUGCUUUUAUAAGGGAAUAAAGUGGGUCUCGUGAGACUUUUUGCAUGUACCUUAUGAAUAAGGACCGGCUAAUUCCGUG
rnacentral:rRNA from 1 species